CCCCUUCGUGCCCUUGUCCCCUGUCUUCUUCGUGCCCCCUGUCCUCUUGUUCCCUUUUUGCCCCUUGUCGUCCUCUUGCCCCCCCAUCCUCUUGUCUCGCCCCAAGGUUUGCAGGGCUCUGGUGCCCCCCAUGCACACUCCUCCUCCGUUUGCACAAAGCUGGGAUGGAGGUGCUGAGGGCUGGCACAGUGCGGGCAGGAGAAAGCACCCGGCCCUGCACGGUUGGGUGUGCGAGGUUCAAGCUUCCUUGCUCUGGAGACGUGCAGGGAAGAGCAGGCUGGGGAUCUGCUGAUCAAUCUGCCCCCUAUAAAAAAAAAAAAAUGACCACAAGUAAAGGGGAAGGCGGGCGAUGAAGAGAAAUGAAAAGAAAGCUGGCCUUUUCAUGCAGAAGGGGCAGCUGCAGCAGCCAGACCCUUUCCUUUCCUGUUCAGGAGCACACCCACCUGUUAUGUCAUGAUUAGGGCAUACAAAAAAUAAGUAUGCCUGGUUUUUUUAUUCCCUGACUUCUUCCCUGUCCCAUUUCCAUGCACAGCAUGUGCUGCUCUGCUUGGAGAACCUUAUCUUGCAAAGGGGCUGCCUCACUGAAGUCCUGUUCCUUUCUUUCCUUUAAUUAUUUUUGUGCAAGUGUUUGAAGUCUCAUUGGCAGCUUAUUUACUGGUUACAAUCUGUAGAGAGACUGAGUCUGGCUUCCUGUUUAUCCUUUUACGGCGUCGUUUGUCAAAUAGUAAAGAUGUUCUCUGCUUAUUUUCCUAAUCAAAAUGAUUGUGCAUAUUUGCACUUUCCAACAAAGUCACAGUAGCUCUGUAAGACUGUUCUUUGUGGAGAUUGGUAUGAAAUGCCGGGGAGGCAUUUGGUAACGAGUACUUGUUGUUUAUUAUUAUUAUUAUUAUUAUUAUAUGACAUAAAAUUUCUGGCUGGACAAAAUAAGGCAGAAUCGGGCACAUGUUUUCUGCCUGCAUCUCAUCUUAUUUUGAGCAAUGGAGCAGAGACCAGAGCCUGCAUUCACCUCCCUGGUUAGUUUGACAUCCACUGGACCGCUGGUGUCUAAUGUGAAGCAUAUAGGUUGCCUGAUCUGGGGAUGGAGGAUGAAACAAAUGUGGUAUCAACAGUAGCAUUUCCUUUCCAGCAGUCCCCACAAGUUAAAGUGGAUUUCAUAGCAGCUAACUUGUUAACUCUAGUGGAUAACUCGAUCAACUCCUUUCAGGCUAGCCUGGCUGGGGGCUGCUGCUGCUAAACGGUGAGCUGCAAGUUUUAAAGCAGCGCUUAAUUCAGAGAUGAGGAUAACACCUGAGUUUAUAGCUUCAUCUCGUGUUCUCCUCAAGACAAGCCCUUAGUUAAAACAUUACGAGAGGCAAAGGACCCCCAAUGAACAGGCAGGAAACGUCCAUUUUUGCUUAUUGUCACUUACUGGAUUAUUUUGCUUUUGUUCUUGUUUGGGGAGCAUCUCUGGCUGGGUUCAAUGUUUUGAAAGGCUGCUUCUUCUGUUGAAUAGGAUCACACACGCUCGGGCGGCUGCUGUGGAGCUGUUCCAGUUGAUCAGAGUCCCACAGAUGGAUGUACAUCUUCCCUGGUGUAACGUGGUGGGAUGGAUUUGGUCCAUAAUUAACAGGUCUCUGCAUGUGAGCCAUGUGUUAUCUAGGAGACAGUAUGGGUACACAGCCAAAUAGAUGAGAUGGGCUCAGGUCUGUUCUCAUUUUCCUUUAAGUUUGCAAGUUUGUUUGAAGCAGGAACAAGUCUUUUGCUCUGCUUUGACUGGCUUCUUUGCUUACUGGGGUCUUGGUCAAUUGACUAGAGUGCCUAGGCUUUCUGAUAUAGAAAUCAUUAAUGCUUAAUCUGAAGUCUUAUUUUUUUUUUGUUCAAGGAAGAUCAAGGUUUAUCCAGAGUUUGAAAUGGAAGAAGCAACUUAAGAUGCACCAGACGAGUAAUAGAAAAUCCUGUCCCAAGUAGACUAUGGAGGAUUUGCACCCAGGCCAGUGAAGGGGAGUAGCUAAAAUGCUAUAUAGUCGAGCUGACCAGUGACAGGUGCAUGGUAAUACAAGGAAGGAUGGGGGUGGUAUUUUGGGGUAAGGAAAACCAAAGCUGUGCACAUUACAGUUAAAGUAGCCUUUAUGUAAAGCAUUAAAAAAAAAAAAUUAAAAAGCCCCAUAUUCAAAUGUUUGCAGGUAAUGGAUUUGUAAAUUAUUUUGUAAAUUAUUCUGCUUUUGUCUGUUGUAGAAGAAUUUAAAUAAAUAGUUCACAUCAUGAAGAUUUGGGGGCCAAGUGCAUAUUCUCAACUUGCAGUGAAAACUGUGGUGGAAAUUCUGUGUACUCCAGCAAAAUAGUGAUACCUUGAGGUCUGAGGUACUUCUGUGGAAGUAGUUCAUAAAGAACAUAUAUCUGUAAUUAUGAGCAGUGCUACUGGUCAUCACUCGAAUCUGGUUUUCUCCAAUGCAUUGGAAAAUAUGUAUUAUAGCAAACUUCUGUACCACAACCUCAGACUUUUGCAAAUGUGCCUCCAGUGAUUUAGACCAUAUUAUACAGUAGGCACUUGGCAAAUGUUUUUUAUGCCAUUUUUAGUUAUAAAGGCGAAAAUAAAAAGGAUACAGUAACCCUCAAUGAGGUGUAUACUUUUAUAACUUCAUAAUGUUCAGAGUGUUUGGGGGGGAAAAAUGGCUGAAAAUACACCCUUGCCUGAGAACUUAUAUUGCCAGAUUUCAGUGUAGAGCAUGUCUUUAUUAACCAAGCAAUACCUCCUUGAAAUGAGGGGUUUAUUAUGGAAAGGCUGACAGACCCUUAAUUAACACAUCCUGAAUGGCAGUUACAAUAGCCCAUAAGCUAAAUAGUGGCAUGCACAGUCCUUAAGCCUUGCUUGGUAGAGUUGGGCAGACUUAGCUAAUUCGAAGGUCUAUUAUGUGUUAGUAUUUUUCUUCUCAUCUGUUCCAGUCUGCUUUUAAAGUUGUGUUAAAUGUAAGUGAUCACAUUUUGGGGCUGGGGCUGUAUUUUCUGGUUUGCCCAUUUUAGCUUUUGGAGUCUCUUUUGGAGUCUCAUUUGUCUAUCAUGCCAGAUUGAGAAGGCUAAGGUGGGCAUGUCCACGUGGCAUUGGACAGAGCUAGAGCUCAGCACUGUGAAAAUACCUUCCUGCCCAUUCCCCCCUGCUCCAUACAUGUCAGUAAAGUUUCUGGCUUAUGCCCAGGGCCUCAGACUUGGGGGUCUAAGGUUGAGCCAAGUUCCACUCUAAUGGCAGCAAUAUGAUCUCUUUUUGGAACGCAGCAUGCAAUGCAGUGCCGGCAAAUGGGCAUUUUUCGGAGUCUGACCUAGUGCAGAUGGACCCUUAUUGUUCUAAUAUAUCUUUUCUAUGUAAAGUGGAGUUGUCUCUUCAUUACAGUAUUAUGAAUGCAUUCUGCUUGUACACAAGAGAUGAUACAUUGCAUAUGUUGAUGGAAAGAUGCCAACAGACUAUAGAAACAAUCUUAUUCUGUUGAAACAUGUAUGUUUCAUGCCUUGAUAGUUUUUCAGGGUGGUCCAAUUAAGGUAAAUGCUCCUGGCAUCUUUUCCAUUAAUACUUGUCUUCACCACCAUCCAUCAUCCUGUUUCUUCAGCUGGUUGUCUAAGAGCUUCUGCCCAUCUGGACCCUGAAGCAUGAAGAUAGCAAGCAACUCCCAGUGUCUCCAAGGGAAAUGUCUUUCUAUCCAGUCCUCUACUGAAACUGCAGGUAAGCAUGCAUCAUUGUUGCCUACGCUGGUUGUGGGAAAUGUAGAGCUCUUUCCAUCCAGUCCUAUACCGAAAAUGCAGAUAAGCAUAUGUCACUGGCACAACCAAUGUAGGGAACAUGGAAGUAUUUUUGUUUAAAUGUAGCAUAUAGUUAAGUCUUGUGAUCAAGAUUAUUGUUUGUAAAGCACGUGAAAAAAAAUGUCCCUACCAUUAAUGCUGGAGGUGGACAAUGGAAACUGAAAAUUAAAAUGGGUUGUAGGGGAGCAUGGAAGGAAAGAAGGCCCAAGAAAAUGAAAGAAACGUUGAGUUUGUGGUUAACAUAUAGGACUGAAUCAGGAGAUCUGCUUUCAACUUCUGGUUUUGCUAUAGAUUUUGUGGGUAAAUACUGCAGAGAAACACCAUGAAUGUUUCUAUUCUAACCCCGUGUGUUUUGACAAUUUUGUUUUUUGCCUUCAGAUUGCUUUCCACAGUUACUCUAAUAAACGUGCUUGCUGGAAGGAGUGUUUUGCUGAAAUUGCAAAAUUUUUCAGCAAUAUUGCCUUAAAACAGACCAUCAAAUUUAUACACUGGAGUGUGUAUUUUGGCAACUUGAUUUGUUUUGGUUCUUUAGAUCAACCUGAUCACGCAAUUGCAGACCACAUGACCUGUUUGUCCAGUCAAAGACACAGCAGGAAUCUUCAGUCUUGAAGAUUUGCUAACAAUUGCUUGUGAAAUAAUAUGCAGGCCAAGAAUGAUUGAUUGUUUCCAGAAAUCUGAGUUCUGUAUAAAAAUGGAAACAAGC